GCAUUUGUGGCCGAGUGGUUAUGGCACUGGACUCAUAAUCCAUUUUACGCUGGUUCGAACCCAGUCAAAUGCA
rnacentral:tRNA from 1 species